UUUCAAUGUGUAACCUGUAUGUUGCUAGCACUGUGAGGUACUAGCUACUAGCUAUAAACUGGGGCUUCAGCGUCAUUGACCUGCAUGUUGCUAGCGCUGUGAGCUACUAGCUACAAACUGGGGCUUCAGCAUCAUUAACCUGCAUGCUGUUAGCACUGUGAGCUACUAGCUCGGCUGCAGCCUUGAUGUUCCUGCUGGUAAACACCUAUGUGCUCCAGCUGUGGGGGUGUCCAGAGACUGCUGCCACAACACGUACUGUGGCUCUGGGCCCGUGUCAGAGAAAGAGUCCCAGGCGGUGACCCAGUUUGUGGGGAGCAGAGUGGACCAGAUCCUCUGCUUCCUCACCAGCCACUUUGCAGAGAGGUCCACACCCUGGCGCCGCCUUAACACCUACAGUCGGGAAAAGUAAGCGACGGCCAUCAAUUAUAGAACGGGAACUGGAGGAGGCUUACAGAAAACCAUCUUGACCAAACAGCCAUCUAAACUUAAUCAGCACAUCUAUUGUUAGAAGGACACGCUGAUCAUCCAAACAGACUAAAAGGU